rnacentral:rRNA from 1 species
CGAUUAUCUAACCUUUUGGAAGAAGUCGUCGAAGGUGGAAUCAAUAACUGGGGUGAAGUCGUAACAAGGUAGCCGUAUCGGAAGGGGCGGCUGGAUCACCUCCUUUCUAAGGAGA